rnacentral:ncRNA from 1 species
UACUUUACUUUGAUAAAAUCUUAAUUUAAAACUAAAUUAUGCAUGGUAGUUCUUCGUGAAUAUUAACCCAGCUAAAAAUAUUAAACAAUAAUGGAAAUAUUAAUUUAAUUAAAGUUUAAGUUAUGGGGCAUAUCAGGUGCCAGCAGCCGCGGUCACACCUAACCAUAAAAUUAAGAGCCUUAGGCUAAGCUUUAAUACUGAAUGGCCUUUAUUCAAGUAAAAUAGAUAAAGGUUAGAAUUUUAUAUUUAUUAAUUUAAAGCUAAAACUCAAUAUAUAAACUAGGAUUAGAUACCCUAUUAUAAAGAGUAAAAAGUACUACCUAAGCACUAAGACUAUAGAGUUAAAACUUAAAAAGUAUGGCGGCGGCUUUAAAUUUUAGGGGAACUUACCAGGUAAUAGACAACCCUCAAGAAACAGAACUUGGAUUAAGAGCUUGUAUACCGCCGUCUCCAGAAUGUAUUUAAGAUAUUUUCGAAAUUCUAAGCAGAAAAAAGACAGGCCAUGGUGCAGCCAAUAUUCAAGACUUUAAGGUGAGUUACAAUAUUAAAUUUUUAUCAGACUUUAAUUAAAAACUUAAAUGAAGGUGGACCUAAAAGUAAAAAAUAAAGAAGUACUUAUUGAAUAUUACAAAAAGUCGUGUACAAAUCGCCCGUCACUCUCGUUGAAAAAGGAGAUAAGUCGUAACAUAGUAGAGGUAACGGAAGUUGUUUCU